AGAGGCAGAUUCCAUGUGUGCAGGCAAAGUGUGUGCUGAGAUGAUGAGUCGCUGGAGACCAGUGUGCACUCUUCAGACCCAGGAUAGGCCUCUGGCAGGUAUGUGUCAAUGUUUUCUGCCCAUGGCACUCACCCAGGUAUUUGCAUACAAUGUUAUCAGCGGAAUUAGUAGUCUCCGGAGAGGCUGCCACAUGUCAACAACAUUCACCCGGCCAGGGUCCACCCGUGAUGUAGCUCCCCAAUCAAUCACUACUCUCUAGACCUUCCAGAUAGACUAGCAGAUCUUCUCUUCCCAUGGGCAAUCAGUAGAGCCAGAGGCCUUCCCCCUUUGCUCUUUCGUCUCUAGGCACUCUGUCAGGCACUCCAAGCUGUGAAGUGCCUGGGGGGGAGAAGGAAGAGAUUUCAGAGAAUGAACACAUCCAGAGAGAGACAAGAGAUGCUGAGUGGGGAUGCCUUGCGUACUGAUAUCCUCAGGAAAGUGGGAAAGAGGUACCUGGUCUGCUCUGCCAAUGCCCUGAAGCAGUCCGCACCAGGGGCUCCCUUGUGCCUGCGUAGCCUUUCCCAGGGUGUGCUCAAAUCCUGUGGCCACUAGGUGUCCUAGGUCACAAUGGAGGGCCCUGUGUCAUCUGCCUGGUGGGCUGGAUCUCUGCCACUGGCUGAGUCUUGUCACCAGGCCCAUCGUAAGCUCCGCCCACUCUUCCGGUGGGGGGACUGUCUCCAUGGUGAUGGCAAAGAAGCCUUAGUUCCGCCCACCUGGCCUUCACUUCACCUACCUGGCCUGCUGACCCUCACUCAGACCUCUGUGUUGAUCAAAAUAAAUGUCCGCCAGUGGCCAGGUGUCAGCAUCUGGGACAAAGGAUUCGGGACCUUGCCUGAGGCAGAAGGCAGCCUAGGUCUGUGGGUACCUGGAAGUCUAGUGACUUGUGACGCUGCUGCCAGUGAUAGAUGGUGACUCCCACACUCACAUAUCCCCUGGUGGCAGAAUGCUAGUGAUGGGUGGAGAAACAUUGCUCAGGAGCACACGUUCAGUAGGGCACCGGCCAAAGGCCAGGGCCAGGAGUGGAUGUCGUGGAGCUGAAUGGAGAGCCAGUGAAGGGUCCAAGGAUUUCUCCUAUAUGUGGAAAACAGGUCAUCCGUGUCCCCACGUCCAUAAACCAUUGGACUGCUGGGGCCCAGGAUGCCAGGAUUUCGGCCUUGCCUUCGCAGCCCAGCCACAUACGCAGCCUUGCACUGGAGGCCGGGACAUGUAGACAGCAAAAAUGUGGAAAAUGGCAGUGUCUCCUCAAUUUCCCUGGCAUCGGCCUUUUUGAGCGGCAUGCUUUUUUCCUAGUAGGAUAAGGCACUGACGGAGAAAGGCAGGAUUAUGUGUGCAGGAAAGGUGUGUGCUGAGAGGGUGACAACGUUGAGACCAGGUUGGGAUCUUUAGUCCCAGGAAAGGCCCCUGGCAGGUGUGGGGCAAUGUUCUCUGCCCAUCCGAGUUGGCGGGGGGAGGUUUUCACCAAACAAAGCAGCAGCGGAAUUAUUCGUCCCCGGAGAGGUUUCAUCUGCCCACAAGCUCCACCUGGCCAGGGUCCGCCCCUACUGUAUCGCCCAUGUCAAUCAACAGAAGCUGAGACCUUCCAGAGAGACUACCUGCUAUUGUCUACCCACGGGGAAGCGGUCCAGCCAGAAGCCUCCCCCGUUUCAUCUCCAGGCUCUCUCUCAGACCCCCCAUACUUGUGAUGUGUCUCGGGUAGAAUGAAGGGAUUUCUCUGAAUGAACACAUCCAGAUAGGGGCCAUAGAUGCUGAGGAAGGGCGCCUUGCCUACUGAUAUCCUAGCGUAAGUGGAAAAGAGGUACCUGCCUGCUGUCCCAGUGUGUCGAAAGUGUCCACAUCAGGGGUUGCCUACUGUGAAGUUAUUCCCUGGGUGCCCUCGAUUUUGUGGCCAAAGACACAAGGGGCCAUUGUGUGUCCAUGCAUACAAUGGAGGGCUCUGCGGAACUGGCCGGUUAGGCUGGACUUCUCCUAUUGGCUCAGUGUUUGUGACCCGUCCCUGUCAGAACUUCCGGCCAGCCUUCCGGUGGCUGUCUCCAUGGUGAUUGGGAAAGAAGCCUUAGGCCCCGCACUCAGCCUUCACCUGGCCUACCUGGCCUCUUUACCCUCAUCUGGACCGCUCUGUGCAUGAAAGAAAGGAUGUCGGCCACUGACCAGGUGUCCUUAUUGCCUUUGAAGGAUUAGGCUCCUUGCCUGGGCAGAAGACAGCCAAGGUCAGCCUGAGCCUAGACACCUAGUGACCUGUGACACUGCAGCCAGCAACAGAUGUUGAUGUCCACGCUCAGGUAUCUGCAGUUGACAGAUUCAGAGUGGUCAGAGGAGAAGUGUAACUAGAGAUCACACACUCAUGAGGGCAGGGGCCAAAGGUCAGGGAAAAUAGCUGAGGUCGUGGAGCUCUAGCGGAGCCAGUCUAGGGCCCAGGCCUCCCUCCUGUACGUGGCAAAGAGGUGCCACCGUCCACAGAGUGUGCCGCCAUCCCUAGACUCUGGACUGCUGGGGCCCUGGUUGUCCAGAUUUCGGCCUUGUCUUUGGAGAAGUGACGUGCAUGCAGUGUGCCACCGGGGGCUGUGGCCCAGCAGAAGCAAAAUGUUGAAAAUGGGGCUUCAGUUGACUUUGCCUGUUCUCUCCCUUGGCUGAGUGCCAUCCUGUGUUUCCUAGCAGGAGAAGGCAUUCAUGGAGAGAGGCGGAUUCCAUGUGUGCAGGCAAAGUGUGUGCUGAGAUGAUGAGACCCUGGAGACCAGGGUGGACUCUUCAGACCCAGGAUAGGCCUCUGGCAGCUUAAAUACAGACCAGAAGAGGAGUUUGGGGCUUGACACCUGACAUCUUAACACCAGUUCCUGUUUCUUGAGGAAGGAAGAGGUAAAAUAAAUCAGCGUUUACUGUGUCCUUCUCCAUCCCCGGAAGUCUUCAUGAAGACCCUCUCAGCUUCAACUUGAACGUGAAUAUGAGCAACUGAUCAUCUGUUCUGCAGUCAGCCCCUGGCCUGAUUCUGACUCAUGAUAUUGACCUUCUCCAUCAUCACCUUCCACAAAUUUGAUUCCUAUCUAUUCUGCCUGGAAUAGCUCACGAGUAUAGUCACCAUUUAUGUUCCUGAUGAAAGCAGGAGAAGGCAUUCGUGGAGAGAGGCGGAUUCCAUGUGUGCAGGCAAAGUGUGUGCUGAGAUGAUGAGUCGCUGGAGACCAGUGUGCACUCUUCAGACCCAGGAUAGGCCUCUGGCAGGUAUGUGUCAAUGUUUUCUGCCCAUGGCACUCACCCAGGUAUUUGCAUACAAUGUUAUCAGCGGAAUUAGUAGUCUCCGGAGAGGCUGCCACAUGUCAACAACAUUCACCCGGCCAGGGUCCACCCGUGAUGUAGCUCCCCAAUCAAUCACUACUCUCUAGACCUUCCAGAUAGACUAGCAGAUCUUCUCUUCCCAUGGGCAAUCAGUAGAGCCAGAGGCCUUCCCCCUUUGCUCUUUCGUCUCUAGGCACUCUGUCAGGCACUCCAAGCUGUGAAGUGCCUGGGGGGGAGAAGGAAGAGAUUUCAGAGAAUGAACACAUCCAGAGAGAGACAAGAGAUGCUGAGUGGGGAUGCCUUGCGUACUGAUAUCCUCAGGAAAGUGGGAAAGAGGUACCUGGUCUGCUCUGCCAAUGCCCUGAAGCAGUCCGCACCAGGGGCUCCCUUGUGCCUGCGUAGCCUUUCCCAGGGUGUGCUCAAAUCCUGUGGCCACUAGGUGUCCUAGGUCACAAUGGAGGGCCCUGUGUCAUCUGCCUGGUGGGCUGGAUCUCUGCCACUGGCUGAGUCUUGUCACCAGGCCCAUCGUAAGCUCCGCCCACUCUUCCGGUGGGGGGACUGUCUCCAUGGUGAUGGCAAAGAAGCCUUAGUUCCGCCCACCUGGCCUUCACUUCACCUACCUGGCCUGCUGACCCUCACUCAGACCUCUGUGUUGAUCAAAAUAAAUGUCCGCCAGUGGCCAGGUGUCAGCAUCUGGGACAAAGGAUUCGGGACCUUGCCUGAGGCAGAAGGCAGCCUAGGUCUGUGGGUACCUGGAAGUCUAGUGACUUGUGACGCUGCUGCCAGUGAUAGAUGGUGACUCCCACACUCACAUAUCCCCUGGUGGCAGAAUGCUAGUGAUGGGUGGAGAAACAUUGCUCAGGAGCACACGUUCAGUAGGGCACCGGCCAAAGGCCAGGGCCAGGAGUGGAUGUCGUGGAGCUGAAUGGAGAGCCAGUGAAGGGUCCAAGGAUUUCUCCUAUAUGUGGAAAACAGGUCAUCCGUGUCCCCACGUCCAUAAACCAUUGGACUGCUGGGGCCCAGGAUGCCAGGAUUUCGGCCUUGCCUUCGCAGCCCAGCCACAUACGCAGCCUUGCACUGGAGGCCGGGACAUGUAGACAGCAAAAAUGUGGAAAAUGGCAGUGUCUCCUCAAUUUCCCUGGCAUCGGCCUUUUUGAGCGGCAUGCUUUUUUCCUAGUAGGAUAAGGCACUGACGGAGAAAGGCAGGAUUAUGUGUGCAGGAAAGGUGUGUGCUGAGAGGGUGACAACGUUGAGACCAGGUUGGGAUCUUUAGUCCCAGGAAAGGCCCCUGGCAGGUGUGGGGCAAUGUUCUCUGCCCAUCCGAGUUGGCGGGGGGAGGUUUUCACCAAACAAAGCAGCAGCGGAAUUAUUCGUCCCCGGAGAGGUUUCAUCUGCCCACAAGCUCCACCUGGCCAGGGUCCGCCCCUACUGUAUCGCCCAUGUCAAUCAACAGAAGCUGAGACCUUCCAGAGAGACUACCUGCUAUUGUCUACCCACGGGGAAGCGGUCCAGCCAGAAGCCUCCCCCGUUUCAUCUCCAGGCUCUCUCUCAGACCCCCCAUACUUGUGAUGUGUCUCGGGUAGAAUGAAGGGAUUUCUCUGAAUGAACACAUCCAGAUAGGGGCCAUAGAUGCUGAGGAAGGGCGCCUUGCCUACUGAUAUCCUAGCGUAAGUGGAAAAGAGGUACCUGCCUGCUGUCCCAGUGUGUCGAAAGUGUCCACAUCAGGGGUUGCCUACUGUGAAGUUAUUCCCUGGGUGCCCUCGAUUUUGUGGCCAAAGACACAAGGGGCCAUUGUGUGUCCAUGCAUACAAUGGAGGGCUCUGCGGAACUGGCCGGUUAGGCUGGACUUCUCCUAUUGGCUCAGUGUUUGUGACCCGUCCCUGUCAGAACUUCCGGCCAGCCUUCCGGUGGCUGUCUCCAUGGUGAUUGGGAAAGAAGCCUUAGGCCCCGCACUCAGCCUUCACCUGGCCUACCUGGCCUCUUUACCCUCAUCUGGACCGCUCUGUGCAUGAAAGAAAGG